AGUGGGGAAUAUUGGACAAUGGGGGCAACCCUGAUCCAGCCAUGCCGCGUGUGUGAAGAAGGCCUUCGGGUUGUAAAGCACUUUCAGCUGUGAGGAAAGGCGAGUGGUUAAUACCCGCUUGCUGUGACGUUAACAGCAGAAGAAGGACCGGCUAACUCCGUGCCAGCAGCCGCGGUAAUACGGAGGGUCCGAGCGUUAAUCGGAAUUACUGGGCGUAAAGCGCGCGUAGGUGGUUCAGUCAGUCAGAUGUGAAAGCCCCGGGCUCAACCUGGGAACUGCACCUGAUACUGCUGAGCUAGAGUACGGUAGAGGGUAGUGGAAUUUCCGGUGUAGCGGUGAAAUGCGUAGAGAUCGGAAGGAACACCAGUGGCGAAGGCGACUACCUGGACCGAUACUGACACUGAGGUGCGAAAGCGUGGGUAGCAAACAGGAUUAGAUACCCUGGUAGUCCACGCCGUAAACGAUGUCAACUAGCCGUUGGGGGACUUGAUCCUUUAGUGGCGAAGCUAACGCGAUAAGUUGACCGCCUGGGGAGUACGGCCGCAAGGUUAAAACUCAAAUGAAUUGACGGGGGCCCGCACAAGCGGUGGAGCAUGUGGUUUAAUUCGAAGCAACGCGAAGAACCUUACCUACUCUUGACAUCCAGAGAACUUUCCAGAGAUGGAUUGGUGCCUUCGGGAACUCUGAGACAGGUGCUGCAUGGCUGUCGUCAGCUCGUGUUGUGAAAUGUUGGGUUAAGUCCCGUAACGAGCGCAACCCUUAUCCUUAUUUGCCAGCGAGUAAUGUCGGGAACUCUAAGGAGACUGCCGGUGACAAACCGGAGGAAGGUGGGGAUGACGUCAAGUCAUCAUGGCCCUUACGAGUAGGGCUACACACGUGCUACAAUGGCCGGUACAGAGGGCUGCAAACUCGCGAGAGCAAGCUAAUCUCACAAAACCGGUCGUAGUCCGGAUCGCAGUCUGCAACUCGACUGCGUGAAGUCGGAAUCGCUAGUAAUCGUGAAUCAGAAUGUCACGGUGAAUACGU
rnacentral:rRNA from 1 species